rnacentral:rRNA from 1 species
GUGCACCAGGCGAGAAACCUCCGCAAUACACGAAAGUGUGACGGGGCCAUCCCGAGUGCCGUCCGCUGAGGACGGCUUUUCCCCAGUGUACACAGCUGGGGGAAUAAGGAGAGGGCAAGCCUGGUGUCAGCCGCCGCGGUAAUACCAGCUCUCCGAGUGGUGGGGACGCUUAUUGGGCCUAAAGCAUCCGUAGCCGGCUGGGCAAGUCCUCCGUUAAAUCCAACGAUUCAAUCGUUGGGCUGCGGGGGAUACUGUCCAGCUUGGGGGCGGGAGAGGCCGACGGUAUUCCCGGGGUAGGGGUGGAAAUCCUAUAAUCCCGGGACGGACCACCAGUGGCGAAGGCUGUCGGCUAGAACGCGCCCGACGGUGAGGGAUGAAGACUGGGGGAGCGAACCGGAUUAGAUACCCGGUAGU